GGUUUCUAUCCAGCCCGGGGUUGGCUGCAGGGCCGGAAGUGAAUUCCUCUGCUGGUCAGACCCAGAUCGCCUGUCUCUAAAGGAUGGCCAAAAAGCAGGGAAGAGUGUGCCUGAAGCUGGCCUGUGGCAACUCUGCACCGAGCAACAGGGACCACCCAGGACAGGAAUUCCAGGUCAGGGCUUGUGUCCGGCUCUGGGGAGAGCAGGAAGGCCUUUCAUUGGAGAACAGAGAAGGACCAAGAAUGUGGGCCACAGGGGCGGGGAGAAGUGUGAAUGUGUUAGUGGGGGGUUUAAAACCAGGCCUGGCUGAAAAACAUGCUCCCUAGAGGCAGUUUGAUGAGGUGGCAAGAAGGGUAGAUGAGCCCUGGGUGUGAAGCCUGGCCCUGAUAUUUCUCUGCUGGGUGGUUAUGAAACAAGCUGCUUCCAUUCUCUCAAUGAGAAGUUACUCACCCUCCUUACCGCACAGGGUUGUUUUGAGGUUGUUCUGAGGUCACUUUGCAGG
rnacentral:lncRNA from 1 species